GUAUUUUGAAUUAAGUAUUCAUAAUAUUUUUCAGACAAAUUAGUUAAAGAAUAAGUUGAUGUAUUAAAAAUCUUGCCUGAAAAGUUUUACCUUCUCUGACAAGACCCAAACAUUGCACACAAGGUGGAUAUGGAUUUUUAAAAAGUGCCAUAAAACACUUUAUUAUGAAUGAUCCUUCCGCAGGUUCACCUACGGAAA
rnacentral:misc_RNA from 1 species